rnacentral:rRNA from 1 species
UACGUAGGGGGCUAGCGUUGUCCGGAUUUAUUGGGCGUAAAGAGCGUGUAGGCGGCCAGAUAGGUCUGCUGUGAAAACUCGAGGCUCAACCUCGAGCUGUCGGCGGAAACCAUCUGGCUAGAGUCCGGAAGAGGAGAGUGGAAUUCCCGGUGUAGCGGUGAAAUGCGCAGAUAUCAGGAAGAACACCCGUGGCUAAGGCGGUUCUCUAGUACGGUACUGACGCUGAGACGCGAAAGCGUGGGGAGCGAACAGG